rnacentral:rRNA from 1 species
CGUAGGGACCGAGCGUUGUCCGGAUUCAUUGGGCGUAAAGAGCUCGUAGGCGGCUGCUCAAGUCGAAUGUGAAACCUCGAGGCUUAACCUCGAGCCUGCAUUCGAUACUGGGCGGCUAGAGUCUGGUAGGGGGAUCUGGAAUUCCUGGUGUAGCGGUGGAAUGCGCAGAUAUCAGGAGGAACACCGGUGGCGAAGGCGGGAUCCUGGGCCAGUACUGACGCUGAGGAGCGAAAGCGUGGGGAGCAAACAGGAUUAGAUACCCUGGUAGUCCACGCCGUAAACGAUGGGCGCUAGGUGUGGGAGGUCAUCGACUCCUUCCGUGCCGCAGCUAACGCAUUAAGCGCCCCGCCUGGGGAGUACGGCCGCAAGGCUA